UGGGUAUAUGUACGCAGGGCGAAGGUAGGUUCCUCUCCAAGAAGGCUCAACUACAGGGUUUCCAGGAGCCUUGAACAGAGCACAGGUGAAGAGAGGAUGGGUUAUGCAGGCGCCGGCCACACAGCUGUUCCCAGGGACCCUUUAGGAGCGCUUGUACCGGCCACAGGAAACAGCAAAGGAACGGCAGCUGAAUCAGGAAAAGGGGAGCAAACUGAAAUUUAGCAGCAUUUUGAAGGCAGCCGUGGACCAGCACUGUCUGCCCCACUGUUCUUCAGCAGACACAGGCAUUAAUCCAGACCCUGAGAUUGCCAUCCUGUGAGAACACACAAAGGAAGACAUUCAGUGAAGAUGCACCCUCUUCCAGAGGUGCCCCAAAAGGGCAGACCAUGGCAGCCUCAUCUUUCUGGUUUUGAACUAGGUCCCUCUACUUGAGGGAAGUGCAAUGGAAUAGAGACAGCACCUCCCUGGGCAGCAGGGAAGCUGGCUCUAAGCCCCACGCUGGUGCCAAGACCAGCUGCCUACCUGAUGCCCCUAAUCUUCGGUUCCCUCCUCCGUGAAUUGCCGGCAUUAACUCUCCUGAAUGCUGCACCACAGGCUGCAGCUAAGCACUCUAUGCACCAAGCAAAGUUCAUGUGAACACACACAAUAUGAUGUCUGUUUACGAGACAGGAAGAGAUGCUUCGCCAGAGUGUGACCUUGCUGACACCAUGAUCUUGGACUUCCAGUCUCCAGAACUCUUCCCUUGGCUUGUGAUGCACAACUCAAAUCUCAGCUUCUAUCCCCACGUAGCUGUCUUCACAUAGUCUUCACUCUGUGGACACCUGCCUUCACGUUUUCUCCUUCUUAUAAAGACACUUGUUCUGUUGGAUUCGGGGCCCAUCUCACUCCAGGAUGACUCCAUGUUAACUUAACUAAUUACAUCUGUAACAUGAUGUAGUUUCCAAAUAAGGUUGCAUUUUAAGUUUCUGGGGUUAAGACUUCCACAUAUAUUUUUGGACGACACGAUUCAGCCCAUAACACUGGUUUUACCCUUGCAUGGACAGGGUGAUUUAUACUUUCUUGCAGUGUCUGUGUAACUUGAAGCCUUAAUUCAUUAAGAUUAGUGUGAUUUUAUUUUGUUACUCUUUUUUCAUCCACUCAUUUUCCUUUGUCACUUGAAAAAAAUAUAUAUAUUUUAAAGUUGAGACCGCAGCCAAAGCUGUAGGCAGAGCCUGAUUCUGAUGGCCCUCUGGCCCUUCAGAUGGGCAGUUUCUCAGUGGCAAUGACAAGAAACCCAGGCAGCCGCACACACACACAUGCCACAUGGCUUUGCAAUGAGUGGCAGAGGCAGGAAUAUCUUCAAAGCAUAUGGAAAGCAGGGAGAUGAGGAGGUGCGCUGGAGCCAGGACAGUGACGAGCUUCGCAGGGCUCUGGCGUGCAGGGGAGGGGACAAAAAUAACCAGCAAAUCCCUUCUCUGCGGAGAACCACCAGUGAAGAGGAUCGACAGACAAGUGACGGGAGGAAACAGGACGUGGAUCUGGGCUUGCAAACCGGACAGGUUGUGGCUCCAGAUGGCAAAAAA
rnacentral:lncRNA from 1 species